GAUGAAGAACGUAGCGAAAUGCGAUACUUGGUGUGAAUUGCAGAAUCCCGUGAACCAUCGAGUCUUUGAACGCAAGUUGCGCCCGAAGCCACUAGGCCGAGGGCACGCCUGCCUGGGCGUCACACGCCGUUGCCCCCCAUCUACUCCUUCGGGAUUGCGGGGGGGCGGAUGAUGGCCUCCUGUGCGCCUAGCCGCGCGGUUGGCAUAAAUACCAAGUCCUCGGCGACGCACGCCACGACAAUCGGUGGUUGCGAAACCUCGGUUGCCCGUCGUGUGCGUUCGUCGCGCAUCGAGGGCUCGAAAAAAUGCUCGGCUCCGGCUGGGCUUUCAACGCGACCCCAGGUCAGGCGGGGUUACCCGCUGAAUUUAAGCAUAUCAAUAAGCGGAGGA
rnacentral:misc_RNA from 1 species